rnacentral:rRNA from 1 species
UUAGAACCUCGGCGUACCGCUCAGUAACACGUGGGUAACCUGCCCUAUGCUAGGGGAUAACCUCGGGAAACUGAGAAUAAUACCCUAUAGUUCACCACGCCUGGAACGGUGGGUGGAUGAAAGCUCCGGCGCAUAGGAUGGGCCUGCGGSGUAUCAGGUUGUAGGGGGUGUAAUGUACCCUCUAGCCAUCUACGCGUACGGGUGUUGGGAGACAUCGCCCGGAGAUGGAUUCUGAGACACGAAUCCAGACCCUACGGGGUGCAGCAGGCGCGAAAACUUGGCAAUGCGAGAAAUCGUGACCAGGGAACUCCAAGUGCAUCGGGUAAGACCGAUGCUUUUCUUGACUCUUCAAAGGUCUCGGAAUAAGGGGUGGGUAAGGACGG